rnacentral:rRNA from 1 species
CCUACGGGCGGCAGCAGUGAGGAAUAUUGGUCAAUGGGCGGGAGCCUGAACCAGCCAAGUCGCGUGAGGGACGACGGUCCUAUGGAUUGUAAACCUCUUUUGCCGGGGAACAAAGGAGCCCACGGGUGGGCGGAUGAGUGUACCCGAAGAAAAAGCAUCGGCUAACUCCGUGCCAGCAGCCGCGGUAAUACGGAGGAUGCGAGCGUUAUCGGGAUUUAUUGGGUUUAAUGGGUGCGUAGGCGGACAGUCAAGUCAGCGGUAAAAAUGCGGUGCUAAACGCCGUACAGCCGUUGAAACUGGCAGUCUUGAGUGGGCGAGAAGUAUGCGGAAUGCGUGGUGUAGCGGUGAAAUGCAUAGAUAUACGGAGGAACACCAGUGGCGAAGGCGGCCUGCUGGACAAUAACUGACGCUGAGGCGCGAAAGCGUGGGGAGCAAACAGGAUUAGAUACCCUGGUAGUC